rnacentral:lncRNA from 1 species
GGGAGUUAUUGAGUUUAACAGUCACUCCUUACCUGGCUUUUCUCUAAGCUAGAAAGGGGGACUUUUGUUCUAUCAUCUUCUGGGAAUAGACUAAUCUUGAGGAAAGAUUAGGAAAGUCCUGGGUGUGGAGAACUGCCUUGGAUAUCUGUCUUUCCCUGAAGUUCUGAGACCAGUCUGGCUGAGACAACUUUGUUAAGAAGAGAAGAGAUGGCCAAACCAUUAUGACUCAUUUCACAGAACAAGGAUUGAAGCAUAUGGAAAGUAAUUACAUUCAAAAUAUGCUAGAAAGUGAUUUCAUGAAUAAAGAUACAUCCCUCUCUACUCAAACUGACAGGCAGAGGCAAAAGAGCCAAAACAGAAACUGCGUGUUCAGGAUUGUCGUCGUCUGGUCAGCAUGCCACUCUUGCCUGCCGUCGAUCUUGACUGUAGUCCUGUGUUCUUCAAUUCAGGAACAAACUGGAACAAUCAGGAACAUACUGGAAUAAUCAGGAACAUGCAUGCAUGUAAGGUUUUUACAAGUGCAUGUAUAUAAGACUAAAAUUUUCAUUGUGCAUGGAAGUAAGCUAUGAGUUCUUCAUGAGUGCUUGUCAGAAUUCAUCAGUUAUUUUUCAUGUGUGGAAGUGAGCAUUACGUGAGUUUAUCUUCAUGAGUGGAAGUUAUGUUAAUCUUAUGUUAAUAUGUUAAUCUUCAUGGAUGGGUGUAAGCAGUAUAGGUUCUUAGAUUUAUUGUUAAGAAUAUGAAUUUGAAGUUUUCUUAUCUUUUUGCUGUGUAAGUUUUUCACAAGGAGAUUUAUUGUAUGUUGUCUUUAGCUAUGUCUUGGAGAUAGAAUUUAGAUAUAAUGUAAUUCGUUUGGUCAUGGAGUAUGUUUUCAUUUGAAAUAAUCUUGUUACUUUCUUUGCUGUUAUUAUUGUAGGCAGAGAGUUUGUAUAGAAUAUGUAGAUAUUUUUCUAUGGCUUCUAAUCUUUUAAAUGCAUAUUUCUUUUACUCUGUUUUACUGGCUUUUGAAGUGCUUUCCUUUCAUAGUUUCCAUUCAUAGGCUGUCAUUUUAACAUGUGCAAUGCUCUCUUACCUGUACUAUCUGUUGAUAAGUAGUCUUGUGUGCUUUUCUUUAUUUUCCAUUCACAGGCUUUCAUUCACAAGGACUGUUAGUGAUUUCUUCUAGGGCAAUUCGUGUUGCUUCUUAUGACUAGGGAUGGUUUUUUUAUAUCAGAUGUCAUUUGCAUGUAUCUUCAUUGAUGACAUGAUCACAUUGUUGUUUCUUGUGAGGUAUCUGAAACUAUGAGGUGAUAUCUUCCUGGUAUACCCUCCCUCUCUUCCUUCCCCUGGUAGAGACUGUUAAGGAUGAAGGCUGAGAGAUACGAAUAACCCUUUUCAGUUCUCA